rnacentral:rRNA from 1 species
AUGAGAAUGAAGUUUCGCUUCUUCUUCCUCCUCAUGGUUGCGUUGCUAGGGACGCAGACAACACGAGCGUCUGGCGCCCUAGCGACAAAUGGCCGGGCGUAUGAGGAGGGCAAUCUUGUCAUCCCGUCCCCGGCCAUGCUCCGCGGGUGUCCGAAAACGUGCGGCAAAGUCAGCUUCGACUACCCGUUUGGCAUCGGCUCCGGCUGCUUCCGCGACCCCGACUUCAACCUGACCUGCGUCGUCGACGGCAGCACGGGCACCCACAAGCUCUUCUUGCACGACGGUAUCACCGAGGUCGUCGACGGCGGCAUCGACGCUGGCUGGUCGCGCACCAUAAGCAUCGCCUAUGCCAACAACGCCGUCGUCACCGCUGGCAAGGACGUUUACAACUUGUCCUCUUGGUCACCCCCCGGGAGAUCUUUUGUCGGAUUCAGUGGCAAAAUAAACGUCACCGGCUGCGGCUUUGACGUGUUCAUGCUCGACCACGACUCGAACUCAACCUUCAAGGUCUGCUCGACCACCUGCCCCGGUAGCGAGAUCACGGAGGCGACGGCCAGGCAGAACUGCAACGGCACCUGGUGCUGCUCCUUCCCAAUUAUAAACGGUAACUUCCGUGGGUUUCAGUUCAGCUUUGUCCGGCUGCGCGGCCAAGACAUCAGGGUGAACCGCACAAGUCCUCUGUGGAACAAGGUCAGCGUAACAACUGUUUAUGCAAACCUGGGAUGGAAUGUGGCGGAUCAGGCAAACUGUGCCGACGCUGAGGGAGACGCAGCGACCUACGCCUGCCGCAGCAACAAUAGCAGCUGCGUUGAUAGUCUGGUGACGCGUAGAGGCUACUGGUGCUACUGCAACGGCGGCUUCCUUGGCAAUCCCUAUGUUCCCCAAGGCUGCUCACGCGACAAAGGAUAUAACCCAAUUCCACGAAUGGUAAAUUGCACACGACAAUGCGGUGACAUUGAAGUCCCAUUUCCAUUUGGCAUAGAAGAAGGAUGUUUUGCAAGGAAGGUAUUUCAGCUCAACUGCACUAAUACGGUGUCCUCUAUGCUCCAAAUGGAAGAUGAUGAAUAUCAAGUGGCGCAUAUAAAUCUUGACAAGGGGCUCAUUGAAAUUAAAUAUGCAGAAUCUUACCAACAGGAAUCUGUAAGGAUUUACAUUGACGAAGAACCUGAUCUUUAUAUGGGUUUUAUUGGACAAACAUCCUUGGCACAGUGGGCUGUCGCUAAUCUAACCUGCGAAGAGGCACAAAUGGACAAGACUAGGUAUGCAUGUGUUAGCGACAAUAGUGAAUGCUUAGUUGUCAACUCUACAAUGAAUCGUUUCUACGGUUAUCGCUGCAAAUGCUCCACAGGCUUUCAAGGAAACCCAUACCUCCGAGAAGGUUGUCAAGAUAUUGAUGAGUGCAAUAAUACAAGGAGUAUAUGUGAAGAGGUUUGCCAUAAUACUGUGGGAAGCUACAAUUGCAUUAAGUGUCCUGAUAAGAUGGACUAUGAUGCUACGACAAAGCAAUGUACCUCAAUAAAAAAACAACAUAUAUUUUUAGGUAUCAUCAUUGGGUUGUGUAGUGGCUCAGGGGUUCUGCUUCUCAGCUUGACUGGAGUUCUCAUGGUACGGAGAUGGAAAAGAUACAUCCAAAUGCAGUUACGGAGGAAAUAUUUUAGGAAAAACCAAGGUCUUCUUUUAGAACAACUUAUAUCGUCAGAUGAAAAUGCAAGUGACAAGACAAAGAUUUUCUCCGUGGAAGAACUAGAAAAGGCAACAGACAAUUUCCAUCAAAUGCGUAUCGUAGGCCGCGGAGGCCACGGCAUGGUUUACAAGGGCAUACUAUCUGACCAAAGGGUGGUGGCAAUAAAAAAGUCUAAGGUCAUUGAGGCAGGUGAGAUCAAUCAAUUCAUCAAUGAGGUCGCCAUCCUCUCCCAAAUAAACCACAGAAACAUCGUAAAGCUCUUCGGAUGUUGUCUUGAAACUGAGGUACCUCUGUUAGUAUAUGAUUUUAUCCCCAAUGGAUCGUUGUUCAGUGUUCUUCAUUCGGAUUCAAGCACUAGUUGUUUAUCAUGGGUUGAUUGCAUAAGGAUUGCUGUGGAAGCUGCAGGAGCUCUCUCUUAUCUCCAUUCCGCAGCUUCAAUAUCGGUCUUUCAUCGUGAUGUGAAAUCAUCCAAUAUUCUCUUAGAUGGAAACUACACAGCUAAAGUUGCUGAUUUUGGUGCUUCGAGACUAGUUUCUAUUGACCAAACUCACAUUGUAACAAAUGUACAAGGCACAUUUGGGUACCUAGAUCCGGAGUAUUACUACACUGGACAACUCAAUGAGAAAAGUGAUGUCUACAGUUUUGGUGUGGUACUCAUUGAGCUACUUCUGAGGAAAGAGCCAAUAUUCACAAGUGAAUCAGGCUCGAAGCAAAACUUGUCAAACUAUUUUCUUUCGGGGUUGAAAAUGAGACCGGUUACAGAAAUAGUACAUGCUCAAGUUCUUGAUGAAGCAACUGAGGAAGAGAUUAGCAGCGUAGCUUCCCUUGCAGAGAUGUGCUUGAGGCUCCGAGGUGAGGAUAGACCGACCAUGAAACAUGUGGAGAUGGCUUUGAGGAUUCUGCAAACAGAAAGGUUAAAACUGUGCAAUGUUGAUCCAAAGAACGGACAAGAGAGGGAACCAGUGCUAACUCCACCAAGAGGAGAGGAUAGCUCUGAUGAGUUGGUUGCUUCUGAUUGUGCCAACGCUAAUUUUCCAUCUGAAAACAUCAAACAGUGCUAUAGCUUUGAGCAAGAGUUCAUGUCAUAUGAUGGUGUUUCACGCUAG